rnacentral:rRNA from 1 species
UGGAGAGUUUGAUCCUGGCUCAGGAUUAACGCUGGCGGCGUGCCUAAUACAUGCAAGUCGAACGACAGUGCUUCUCACUGGCGUGAGGAAGCAAUGAAUCAAGCAACAAUGCUCAAUGUUCAACGAAUGUAGCAAUGCAUUAAUGCAUUCAAUCAUUGACCAUUCAUUGACAAUUGAAACUUGACCAUUGAACAUUUCCGAGCGUGAGUGAGGAGUAUAUGGAGUGGCGGACGGCAGAGUAACGCGUAGGAACGUACCCCGAAGUGAGGGAUAAGCACCGGAAACGGUGUCUAAUACCGCAUGCGGUGCUUCUCAUCAAGACUCGAAGCAUUUAACACUUCACAUUUGUCAUUUAACAUUAAUUUCACAUUGAUCAUUGGCCAUUUCCGGCAAUGAAAAAUGAAAACUGAUAAAUAAAUGUAAAUUGUGAAUUGAAAAAUGGUAAAUUCGGGCUUUGAUGAGGAGCAUCAAAGCCGCAAGGCGCUUUGGGAGCGGCCUACGUCCGAUUAGCUUGUUGGUGAGGUAAUAGCUCACCAAGGCGACGAUCGGUAGCUGGUCUGAGAGGAUGACCAGCCUGACUGGGACUGAGAACGGCCCAGACUCCUACGGGAGGCAGCAGUAGGGAAUCUUGCGCAAUGGACGAAAGUCUGACGCAGCAACGCCGCGUGCAGGAGGAAGGCCUUCGGGUCGUAAACUGCUUUUAUAUGUGACGAUUUUGACAGUAGCAUGUGAAUAAGGAUCGGCUAACUCCGUGCCAGCAGCCGCGGUCAAACGGAGGAUCCAAGCGUUAUCCGGAAUUACUGGGCGUAAAGAGUUGCGUAGGUGGCAAGCUAAGUUUCUGUUCAAAUCCCAAGGCUCAACCUUGGACAGGGCAGGAAAACUGGCUAGCUAGAGCAUAGUAGAGGUAGCUGGAACUGCUGGUGUAGGAGUGAAAUCCGUAGAUAUCAGUAGGAACACCGAUGGCGUAGGCAGGCUACUGGGCUAUUGCUGACACUAAGGCACGAAAGCGUGGGGAGCGAACGGGAUUAGAUACCCCGGUAGUCCACGCCCUAAACGAUGGAUGCUAGCUGUUAUCCGUAUCGAUCCGGGUAGUAGCGAAGCUAACGCGUUAAGCAUCCCGCCUGUGGAGUACGAGCGCAAGCUUAAAACACAAAGGAAUAGACGGGGACCCGCACAAGCGGUGGAGCGUGUUGUUUAAUUCGAUGAUAAGCGUAGAACCUUACCAAGGCUUGACAUCCGUGGAAGGUCUCCGAAAGGAGACUGUGCCUUCGGGAGCCGCGUGACAGGUGAUGCAUGGCCGUCGUCAGCUCGUGUCGUGAGAUGUUUGGUUAAGUCCAUUAACGAGCGCAACCCUUAUGGUUAGUUGAAUUGUCUAGCCAGACUGCCCCGGUAACGGGGAGGAAGGAGGGGACGAUGUCAGGUCAGUAUUUCCCUUACGUCUUGGGCUACAAACACGCUACAAUGGCCGGUACAAAGGGCAGCCAACCCGCGAGGGGGAGCAAAUCCCAUCAAAACCGGUCUCAGUUCGGAUAGCAGGCUGAAACUCGCCUGCUUGAAGCCGGAAUCGCUAGUAACGGUAGAUCAGCUACGCUACCGUGAAUACGUUCCCGGGUCUUGUACUCACCGCCCGUCAAGUCAUGAAAGUCGCCAAUACCUGAAGUCUAACAAUUUGUUGGCCCAAGGUAGGGGAGAUGAUUGGGACUAAGUCGUAACAAGGUAUCCGUACCGGAAGGUGCGGAUGGAUUACCUCCUUUCUA